GGAGGCUGGCCUGCAUCUGUGUCCCACGU
rnacentral:piRNA from 1 species